rnacentral:lncRNA from 1 species
AUUGUUUUAUUUAAAGUAGUAGAUGCAUGAUUCUUAAGUGGCAAUUUCCAAAGCCAUCUUCAAGUAGUCUUUUUCAUUAGAGUUAGAGGCCAUGAUCUUCUAUGUAAAAUUGUCACUGCAGGUACUUCCAACUGAAUGCCAUCUUCAAGUACUCCAUUUCAUUAGAAUUAGAGGCCAUCACCCCUAUAGUCAACGCAGGUACUUCCAACUAAAUGCA